rnacentral:rRNA from 1 species
UAACACCCUUCUGGGAACAAGGAGCUGAUAUCAGGCACAUUACCCAAAACAUCUAAACACACCACACCCACAAGGGCCCGCAGCAGUGAUUAAUAUUAAAAAUUAACGCCAGUUUGAUUUAGUUAACGAAGACAGAGCCGGCUAAUUUGGUGCCAGCCGCCGCGGUUACACCACGAGGCUCAAAUUGAUUUAUACGGCGUAAAGCGUGAUUAAAGAGAUAGCCCAAUUGGGGUUAAACUUGAACUAAGCUGUGAUAACCUUGCUCUUGAGAAAACCUAUCUCGAAAGAUACCCCAACCCACCAACUUGAACCCACGAAAUCUGGGGCACAAACUAGGAUUAGAUACCCUACUAUGCCCAAUUAUAAACUUUAACUUACACCCACCCCCUCGCCUGGGAACUACGAGCUAAGCUUAAAACCCAAAGGACUUGACGGUACCCCACAUCCCCCUAGAGGAGCCUGUCCUAUAAUCGACACCCCCCGCUUAACCUCACCACCCCUUGUUUAUCAGCCUGUAUACUUCCGUCGUCAGCUUACCGCAUGAGCGAACAAGUAAGCCCAAUGUCACCAACAAUACGUCAGGUCAAAGUGCAGCAAAUGGGGUGAGAAGAGAUGGGCUACACUCUCUACACUAGAGAAUACAAAAGACUUCAUGAAACUUGGUCAGAAGGUGGAUUUAGCAGUAAAAUGAAAUAGAAUAUUCAUUUUAAUCUGGCACUGGGGUGUGUACACACCGCCCGUCACCCUCUUCAAAAAGUUUACCGAGUA